GCGCCUGUAGCUCAAAUGGAUAGAGCAAUUGCCUUCUAAGCAAUAGGUUGGCCGUUCGAUUCGGCCCAGGCGCA
rnacentral:tRNA from 1 species